AAAAGAAGCAGAGGGGGCUUAGUGGUGGGGUGACUGCGUACCUUUUGUAUAAUGGGUCAGCGACUUAUAUUCUGUAGCAAGGUUAACCGAAUAGGGGAGCCGGAGGGAAACCGAGUCUUAAUUGGGCGUUAAGUUGCAGGGUAUAGACCCGAAACCCGGUGAUCUAGCCAUGGGCAGGUUGAAGGUUGGGUAACACUAACUGGAGGACCGAACCGACUAAUGUUGAAAAAUUAGCGGAUGACCUGUGGCUGGGGGUGAAAGGCCAAUCAAACCGGGAGAUAGCUGGUUCUCCCCGAAAGCUAUUUAGGUAGCGCCUCGUGAAUUCAUCUCCGGGGGUAGAGCACUGUUUCGGCUAGGGGGCCAUCCCGGCUUACCAACCCGAUGCAAACUGCGAAUACCGGAGAAUGUUAUCACGGGAGACACACGGCGGGUGCUAACGUCCGUCGUGAAGAGGGAAACAACCCAGACCGCCAGCUAAGGUCCCAAAGUCAUGGUUAAGUGGGAAACGAUGUGGGAAGGCCCAGACAGCCAGGAUGUUGGCUUAGAAGCAGCCAUCAUUUAAAGAAAGCGUAAUAGCUCACUGGUCGAGUCGGCCUGCGCGGAAGAUGUAACGGGGCUAAACCAUGCACCGAAGCUGCGGCAGCGAACGUAUCACUUAAAGCGAUUCAGCGGAUGACGAUUGACGGAGCGAAGCGACGUCAAAGCGUAUACAAAGUCGAGUCGGUUUAAGGAUACGUUCGUUGGGUAGGGGAGCGUUCUGUAAGCCUGCGAAGGUGGCCUGUGAGGGUUGCUGGAGGUAUCAGAAGUGCGAAUGCUGACAUAAGUAACGAUAAAGCGGGUGAAAAGCCCGCUCGCCGGAAGACCAAGGGUUCCUGUCCAACGUUAAUCGGGGCAGGGUGAGUCGACCCCUAAGGCGAGGCCGAAAGGCGUAGUCGAUGGGAAACGGGUUAAUAUUCCCGUACUUGGUGUUACUGCGAAGGGGGGACGGAGAAGGCUAUGUUGGCCGGGCGACGGUUGUCCCGGUUUAAGCGUGUAGGUGUGUGUUCCAGGUAAAUCCGGUUCACUUUAACACUGAGGCGUGACGACGAGGCACUACGGUGCUGAAGCAACAAAUGCCCUGCUUCCAGGAAAAGCCUCUAAGCAUCAGGUAACAUCAAAUCGUACCCCAAACCGACACAGGUGGUCAGGUAGAGAAUACCAAGGCGCUUGAGAGAACUCGGGUGAAGGAACUAGGCAAAAUGGUGCCGUAACUUCGGGAGAAGGCACGCUGACACGUAGGUGAAGUGAUUUACUCAUGGAGCUGAAGUCAGUCGAAGAUACCAGCUGGCUGCAACUGUUUAUUAAAAACACAGCACUGUGCAAACACGAAAGUGGACGUAUACGGUGUGACGCCUGCCCGGUGCCGGAAGGUUAAUUGAUGGGGUCAGCGCAAGCGAAGCUCCUGAUCGAAGCCCCGGUAAACGGCGGCCGUAACUAUAACGGUCCUAAGGUAGCGAAAUUCCUUGUCGGGUAAGUUCCGACCUGCACGAAUGGCGUAAUGAUGGCCAGGCUGUCUCCACCCGAGACUCAGUGAAAUUGAACUCGCUGUGAAGAUGCAGUGUACCCGCGGCAAGACGGAAAGACCCCGUGAACCUUUACUAUAGCUUGACACUGAACAUUGAGCCUUGAUGUGUAGGAUAGGUGGGAGGCUUUGAAGCGUGGACGCCAGUCUGCGUGGAGCCGACCUUGAAAUACCACCCUUUAAUGUUUGAUGUUCUAACGUGGACCCGUUACCCGGGUUGCGGACAGUGUCUGGUGGGUAGUUUGACUGGGGCGGUCUCCUCCUAAAGAGUAACGGAGGAGCACGAAGGUUGGCUAAUCCUGGUCGGACAUCAGGAGGUUAGUGCAAUGGCAUAAGCCAGCUUGACUGCGAGCGUGACGGCGCGAGCAGGUGCGAAAGCAGGUCAUAGUGAUCCGGUGGUUCUGAAUGGAAGGGCCAUCGCUCAACGGAUAAAAGGUACUCCGGGGAUAACAGGCUGAUACCGCCCAAGAGUUCAUAUCGACGGCGGUGUUUGGCACCUCGAUGUCGGCUCAUCACAUCCUGGGGCUGAAGUAGGUCCCAAGGGUAUGGCUGUUCGCCAUUUAAAGUGGUACGCGAGCUGGGUUUAGAACGUCGUGAGACAGUUCGGUCCCUAUCUGCCGUGGGCGCUGGAGAACUGAGGGGGGCUGCUCCUAGUACGAGAGGACCGGAGUGGACGCAUCACUGGUGUUCGGGUUGUCAUGCCAAUGGCACUGCCCGGUAGCUAAAUGCGGAAGAGAUAAGUGCUGAAAGCAUCUAAGCACGAAACUUGCCCCGAGAUGAGUUCUCCCUGAGACUUUAGGUCUCCUGAAGGAACGUUGAAGACGACGACGUUGAUAGGCCGGGUGUGUAAGCGCAGCGAUGCGUUGAGCUAACCGGUACUAAUGAACCGUGAGGCUUAACCUUACAACGCCGAAG
rnacentral:rRNA from 1 species